rnacentral:lncRNA from 1 species
UUCCAUCUUCCACUCCUAGCCAGAGUGUACUCCCACUUAAUAAAAAAAGUUAACUGUGAAACAGCCUCAGGCAGGCCCUUCAGGAGGUGUUCCAGCAGAAGAGAUUGUUAUCACAGGAGAUGACAGCUCCAUGCGUGUUACUGCCCCGGAAGGCCUUCCAGUGGGACAAGAUGUGGAGGUGGAAGACAGUGAUAUUGGUGAUCCUGACCCUGAGGAGGCCUCAGCUAAUGUGUAUGUGUAUUAGUCCAUUUUCAUGCUGCUGAUAAAGACAUACCCGAGACUGGGCAAUUUACAAAAGAAAGAGGUUUAAUGGACUUACAGUUUCACGUGGCUGGGGAGGCCUCACAAGCAUAGCGGAAGUUGAAAGGCACCUCUCACAUGGCGGCAGACAAGAGAAGAGAGCUUGUGCAGGGAGAAUCUCGUUUUUAAAACCCUCAGAUCUCGUGAGACUCACUCACUAUCACCAGAACAGCACAGGAAAGACCUGCCCCCAUGAUUCAAUUGCCUCCCACUGGGUUCCUCCCACAACACGUGGGAAUUCAAAAUGAGAUUUGGAUGGGGACACAGCCAAGCCAUAUUAAUAUGUUCAUGUCUUAGUUUUUAAUUAAAAAGUUUAAAAAGUAAAAAAUAAAUAAAAAUAGAAAAAAGCUUAUAGAAUAAAAACAUAAAGAAAAAAUAUUUUUGUACAGCUGAACAAUGUGUGUUUUAAUCUAAGUGUUUUUUUUUUCUUUUUUAUGAGACUGAGUCUCACUUGGUCACCC